rnacentral:lncRNA from 1 species
GAUGCAGCCCUUUAGAGAGGACUCCCAGAAAUGACAGCGGGGAGCGAGAACUCCAGACUGUGAUUUGGGUGGAGACCAAGUGCUUCCUUGUAGAUCCCCCGCCUGGCGCGUUGCAUGAGCAUUUAUCUAUCGGGCCGCCCACGCAGAUGAAGCAGCGAGUCACUACUCCUUCGGAAACACCACUACAGGAUGUCUGGAAGGAAAUCUACUUCCCUCACAGAGGGAAAUUGCCAAUAAUCAGUGUUGCUGAGAACACGAGUAGCUUCAUGGGCCCCAAAUGAAAGACUGAAUCCCAAGUGUUCCUUCCAAGUGCUGGGGGGUGAAUCAGUAACAAGGUGCCAAGAUUGUAAGGCCCCCCUCCUUGGGCAGAAUGCCUCUCCAUCCACAAAUAGAAACUUGC